rnacentral:rRNA from 1 species
AGGAAUAUUGGUCAAUGGGCGAGAGCCUGAACCAGCCAAGUAGCGUGAAGGAUGACUGCCCUAUGGGUUGUAAACUUCUUUUAUAAAGGAAUAAAGUCGGGUAUGGAUACCCGUUUGCAUGUACUUUAUGAAUAAGGAUCGGCUAACUCCGUGCCAGCAGCCGCGGUAAUACGGAGGAUCCGAGCGUUAUCCGGAUUUAUUGGGUUUAAAGGGAGCGUAGAUGGAUAUUUAAGUCAGUUGUGAAAGUUUGCGGCUCAACCGUAAAAUUGCAGUUGAUACUGGAUAUCUUGAGUGCAGUUGAGGCAGGCGGAAUUCGUGGUGUAGCGGUGAAAUGCUUAGAUAUCACGAAGAACUCCGAUUGCGAAGGCAGCCUGCUAAGCUGCAACUGACAUUGAGGCUCGAAAGUGUGGGUAUCAAACAGGAUUAGAUACCCUGGUAGUCCACACGGUAAACGGUGAAUACUCGCUGUUUGCGAUAUACUGCAAGCGGCCAAGCGAAAGCGUUAAGUAUUCCACCUGGGGAGUACGCCGGCAACGGUGAAACUCAAAGGAAUUGACGGGGGCCCGCACAAGCGGAGGAACAUGUGGUUUAAUUCGAUGAUACGCGAGGAACCUUACCCGGGCUUAAAUUGCAGAUGAAUUACGGUGAAAGCCGUAAGCCGCAAGGCAUCUGUGAAGGUGCUGCAUGGUUGUCGUCAGCUCGUGCCGUGAGGUGUCGGCUUAAGUGCCAUAACGAGCGCAACCCUUGUUGUCAGUUACUAACAGGUUUUGCUGAGGACUCUGACAAGACUGCCAUCGUAAGAUGUGAGGAAGGUGGGGAUGACGUCAAAUCAGCACGGCCCUUACGUCCGGGGCUACACACGUGUUACAAUGGGGGGUACAGAGGGCCGCUACCACGCGAGUGGAUGCCAAUCCCCAAAACCUCUCUCAGUUCGGACUGGAGUCUGCAACCCGACUCCACGAAGCUGGAUUCGCUAGUAAUCGCGCAUCAGCCACGGCGCGGUGAAUACGUUCCCG